rnacentral:rRNA from 1 species
AUUGAACGCUGGCGGCAUGCCUUACACAUGCAAGUCGAACGGCAGCACGGGAGCAAUCCUGGUGGCGAGUGGCGAACGGGUGAGUGAUAUAUCGGAACGUGCCCGGUCGUGGGGAUAACGUAGCGAAAGCUACGCUAAUACCGCAUACGAUCUACGGAUGAAAGCGGGGGAUCGCAAGACCUCGCGCGAUUGGAGCGGCCGAUAUCAGAUUAGGUAGUUGGUGAGGUAAAGGCUCACCAAGCCGACGAUCUGUAGCUGGUCUGAGAGGACGACCAGCCACACUGGGACUGAGACACGGCCCAGACUCCUACGGGAGGCAGCAGUGGGGAAUUUUGGACAAUGGGCGCAAGCCUGAUCCAGCAAUGCCGCGUGCAGGAUGAAGGCC